UUAGAUCUAGCCUAUGUUAAGAAAGGUAGAGGUAAACCUAAAAAAAGACUUGGUUAUAAAGCAUUAGAAAUGAUCUUUCUUUAUUAGAUUUUAUUAGAUUUAAAUGUGAAUUUGACUCUUAAUGGGACACAAUGGAGAAGGAUUCAUGUUGUCAUCCUCGCACAGUGGGAUAACGGCUUGAUGAUGAUGUGUUGUAAUCUUUGUUUAGCUUGUGCUUUCUAUAUAGAAGAAAUAAUUGUGAUUGUUUUAUUUAUAACUGAAGAUACAUAAGAGCUCAUUUUUCUUAAUAUUGAUGCAGUGCUUUUUAUGAUCACCUUGCCGUUGUUGUAAACUAAUUGAACUUUGUUUAUCGAUUUAAUUGGAGCUGUGUGACGAGUGGGCAACUACAGUAGUUUAAAUCAUAAUUUACUUGAAGCAUUAUCAUGAAAACUUAUCUUCUUGCUGCAUUUGCCCUUUUACCUUAAUUGAGAGAGUUGUAAAUUAAAAUCUUUACCUCCCUGAAAUUCUAAUUAUUUGACAUGAAAAUGGCACCUUGAUUCAAAACACCAGUUCAAUAUUUCCGAAUUUGUUCUGUUGAAGCCUUUAUUUUUCUUUGAUUUCAGUUGGACUUGGCUUAUAGUUUUGGGUCUUAAUGCUCAAAAAAUUAUUCAUGAAAUUUGUGAUAACUGUAAGGAUAUACAACUGCUUACCUUUGUGGUUGGUGAUAUUGCUAUGAGAUUAUGGUUGCUUUCAUAUAUGUUGUUAUGUUUGCUAUAUGGCGUUAAUCAUCUUCACAUUUUAUUGCUUUGUCUUGACAUACUAUGUUUGCUGCAUUAAAAGACGAAUAUAUCGGUAUAAAUUGUAGGUGCCUUCAGUGAAAUAGCUUGCAAAUUUGCUGACUAUUCUUUGUCGGUAUAACAAAUACUACACUGAUUUCUUGGUAGUUUUGUUUUUGGGUAUUUCUUGUAUUAGUUUGGCUUGGUAACAUCUGACAUUAGUUUAGUUUCAGUUAUUUUCCUUUUCUUUAAGCUUUUCUAUGAAUUGCCUUGCGUUGCUAAAAUAUUCUCUAUAUGUUUCUACAAUGUUAUAUUUUUCUCUUUAUUUUUCUACAAUGUUAUCUUUCAGAGUAAUGCAUUUGGUGAAUGAUCAUUUUUGAUUUGGGACUUAACUAAUUACCUAAAGAACUCUGGUAAUUUGCAGAUAUCCAGUAUUUGGCCUACGUUACAGUCUGCUAAAACAUGUUAGAAGUAAACAUGUCGUGUGUUUAUGUAUUAUUUGAUGAAGUACCACUUUCUGUGUAGACACCAUGGUUUUGAAAAUUCCACUUUAUAUUGUUGAUAUACCUUCUAUUCUUUCUAAACAGAAAUUUUUUAUUUGAUGAGCCAAUUCGUAUGUGCAAAAGAACAUCAAAUAUAUGCCGAGAGACUAAUGUGUUUUUCAGGUGGAAAAUAGGAUUUCAUAGCUACUAUAGUUUAGAAAUCGAAGUAAUUCAUUAUGAUUUCAGAAGGAAUGCAUGUUCUUUCUUGCUCAUGGUGACUCCUAACUUUUUAUAUAGUUACAAAUUCAGUGAAUUGAAAUAUUUUAUGAAUCGUUACUAACAGGAUAAACUCUGCAGUAGUUCUAUCUGGAAGAUUAUUGUGAUUCUUUUGUUUGCCAAAUUUAUGCAAUAUAAGCCUGUAAAAAAAGAGUCAAUAGUGAUUUUACCAGAAUUUGGGGUGCAGCUUGAAACUCAUUAUUGGAGUGGGAAAAUUGCUCGUAGAUUUG